rnacentral:rRNA from 1 species
GGACGAACGCUAGCGGCGUGCCUAAGGUAUGCAAGUCGAACGGGGGCUUCGGCCCUAGUGGCGAACGGUCGCGUAACACGUAGACAACCUGCCUUCCAGUGGGGGAUACCAGCCCGAAAGGGCUGCUAAUACCGCAUGUCGGUGGGGAGCGGCAUCGCUCCCUGACUAAAGGCGCAAGCCGCUGGGAGAUGGGUCUGCGGCCUAUCAGCUAGUUGGUGGGGUAACGGCCUACCAAGGCGACGACGGGUAGCGGGUCUGAGAGGAUGAUCCGCCGGACGGGGACUGAGACACGGCCCCGACUCCUUCGGGAGGCAGCAAU